UGCGUCGUGAAGAAUUAGGAUAGACGUGGCUAGGAGAAGUGUGGAAAGGCAGGGAAGAUGGCGGAAGCGGAGGUUCUGUUUAGAACUGGUGAAUCAUCAAGUGUAGAUGAGAGUGAGAAGGAAUCGAUUACAAGUCUUGGUUGAACGAUGACAUGGAUAAUAUACAGUUGGCCGGAGUUUUUUCCGUGCAUCGGCAAGUCAGAACUCCUACCUAUGUCUCUAGGUCACCAGGCUCUCGU